ensembl:lncRNA
GUUUAAUUAAACUGAUCUUAUUCAUCCGUUGAUUGGUGUGUACAUGUGUGAAGCGUAUGAGGAAUGACAAUCUGGCUCAAGAUCUUGGAAUAAAAAGAAGACUUUGGUGGUUUUAAACCAAAUGUUGAUUUCAAAUAUUAUUUUAUUCUUGUUCAGUGACUGGAAAUGAAACGAACAAGAUGUGACAACUGCAAACGUCCUCACAAGUCCACAUCAGACUUAAAGGAGCCAUAUCAUGACUUUUUAAUGUUUUCCUUUUGUUUGGGGGAUUGUAAUGUAUCUGUUUGUGCAUGUAAAAGAUCUGCAAAGUCUCAAAGCUCAUAGUCUCCCCCAAAGGGCUUUAUUUUAUCUGACAGAGAACACUGCUCCAGACCAGCCCAAAACGUGUCGUUCGAAGUCCAGAUAUUACUUCCGCAAACGACUGUGGUACAGUGUGAACUAUUAGCAUAAUCCCGAGUUUUGUGUUGUGGCCCAGGGUUCAGUUGCUAGCUAAAGUUUGCUAAGGUGCCUCAGUAUUGCAAAGACUCUAGUAUACUUUGUUUUUUUGCGCGUACGCUGGCGUAUGUGGACAAGCACAGUCAUAUAGUCGUAUAGCCUUUCAAAGUAUACUCCAUUUGACAUGUACGCAUACGCAGGAGUUCAAAAGUUUGGCAGGGGAGAGCUGACUGAUGGGUGGGAACUCACCAGGAUCAAAUUAGGGAGAAAAUCCAAAAAAGAACAAAGUUGAAACGGUCCUAAAUAUAGCAGUGUUAACGGUUUUGUUGAUAUGCGUGAUCCCUGAUCCUUGCUCAGCUCUCAUUUUUGCGUUAUUUUGUUAAAAUAAAUGGCCGGGAGCGAGCCUGUCAGGUCCGGCCUGGGUCUGGCUUUAGUCUUGACCUCAUUUCUUUUCCCCUGUGCCGUUUCUGACACAUUUCCCACAACCCCUCACAUCCCUGUGUCUCGUUGGCGAACGUUACGUUAACCCCCUGUGCUUUGCCAGGGCUCAGGGAUCAGGUUAACUCUUUGAAGUGAGGAUUAGCUCAGCUCUGGCAUCUCCCCGGCUGUGAACGGCAGAAUGUCCCUGACGCAGAUAUACGAUUACUAGAUCACAGAACACAGAAGCCAUCUGAUAUGUGAUUGUGAGCCCUUUGUGUAUUCCAGGUUUAAAAACGAAAACACUGCUUUGUUCUGUAACCUCAAAUGGAUAUUGUCAUCUUUUUUAUUUAUUUUAUUUAUUUAUUUAUUUUUAGUAUUAUAUGGUUCUCUCUGGGUAUCUGAGCCGUCUUGAGAUAAGGGCAAGCAACGCUUUGAGAUUACCUCUAGAAAAACUACUGGAAUUUAACAUUAACAGAUCAACAAGACUUACAUCAAAUUUACAAAAUUCUGUAAAAAUAUAGAAAUUCUAAUUGAAAUGAUAUUGUUCAAACACACAUCAAGUAAAUAAAAUAUUUCAUUGAAAUCUAAAAAAAAAAAAACCCAUUAAAUAAAUAAAUACCUUGCAAUAAACUCAGCAGAGAAAGAUACUUUAAGACCACAUUAUGGUCAUAUAUGCUUUUCAGUAGGGUUUAUUUUUCAAAAUAUAUUUUCUGAGACCUAAAAUACAUUCAAAUUCACUUUUUUAAAGAUUUGAAACGUUUAAUCAAGCUUUUUAAAGUUCUUUUUAAACAUUUACCUUUAAAUUUCACUGUUAAACAUUUAACAAUAUUAAAAUACAUGACAACGGACAAUACACACUUCUGUGCAACCACAUAAACACAUCUUACAAGUCUGCUAGGAGAUUCUAACAGUCCCUGGUUACAGUUACCCACAGCUACCUAAUGUCUGUUAUAUAUAAAAAGCUAAUGUUAGCUGUUCUAGAGACAAUAUUAUCGUUUCUGCUACGCUGAAGAAUUCCUAAUGUGCUAGAAUGUUUAUACCACUAGACUAGUGUACCAGUCGACCUGUACUCUACCUGUUUUGUACAUUUACUUUUUUAUUAUUACUCUUGUGGAGCGUGUGUAGAACAUCUCCAGCUAAAAGUUCAUCGUUUCCUUGUAUGAGCGUGUAAAUAGAACAUACGACUUGUAGAUUGAUUGGUCAAGGCCAUCUAGGUUUCAUUCAUCCUAUGUUCUUCCUGGAUGAUGAUGAUUGAUUGGCAGAUAGAACCGUGUAAAACCAAGUUUAUCUGUGAGUGCUUUUUUUUUGUUUUUUGUUUGUUUCAAAAUAAAAACACCACAAAAGAAAAGUAUUCCAGGUGUAAUGAAAUUUAUAUGGUUGACCCAUUUUCAACCAAAAUGCCAAACAGAACCUUGGUCAUGAUUUUUUUUUUUUUAUCCUCUUAUAUAUGCUAUGUAAUACUUCAAGAAAUCACAUUUCUCUCAAACAGGUUUCUGGUUUAAACCCAUUAAACUACUUCUCCUGGAUUACACAUGACUACUCUUUGCUUUUCUGUAAAGUUGGUGGUCUGAUAUGAUCCAUUUGCUGCCAUAUUGCUCUUUUACGCCUUGAAAAACAAUGUGGUCAGCCCUCCCUUUAACAGUGCACUUCCACUUUUAGCCAAGAAACCCAUGGGCUCUCCGCAAACGAAGGUGAACGCCGGUGGUAAAGAGCUUAGGAAGCACUUCAGAACCGAGGGAUUAUCCUCGCCUCAAUUAGACAGUGGGAACGGGAAUGAUCCCCACCUCAAUUAGCGAGUUUUUCCCUUCUCCCUUUGGAUUAUGGUAUUCACCUUCGGCCUCCGAGGGGUUUCUCGUUUGCUCAGAUGAUAGCCAAGGCGGGGGUCCACCUGGACCACACUUUAGCAGCUGUGAAAGCAAAAGCAUUGCUGCACAAACCGCUGCUCAAAGCUCAAACCGUGAAAGGGGCUCUACAGAACCAGCUCUGACAGUGAGCACGAUGAAAUAUACAUAUCGUAUUCAAAUGUACUUUCUAGAAAUUUAGCAUUGUUGGCUUUGGAAAAUGUGAAUUGUGGUAACACUGAAAACUUACUGUGUCAUGUGGGCUGUUUUGCCACUACAGUUAGGGAAAAUAUACUGGAAAAUACAGCCGAGUGCCAAAGAUUGCAUACCAUUAGGACAAAACGAAGAUGACCAACGAAAUUUAUACCACACUGACGUAGCAUUCCGUAUUCGGAUCAGUCAGAAGCUGCUGGUUAUUUUCUCUAACAGCAGCUCUGUGACAAUAGUGUUGGCUACAGGACGAGUCACAGGUUUCAGACGUUCUCAUUUCCAGCAAAGCGUACACAUGGGCUGUAUGGUUGACGCUCCACAGAAACGGUCUGGUAAAGCACCUGCUGCAAGCUCGAUAAUUAGACGCAUACUUUGCUGAAUUCCUGCAUUACUUCACCCUGUCAGAGUUUCCCUUUAAUAAUACGCUUCCACAUGUAGUCAAUGGGAGUCAGGGUGUGGAUGGAGAGUUAUGGUCUUAGCAAGUACAGAGAGAUACGGUCUACAAACAUUCAGCCUUUGCGGCCAGAUUGUCUCCCCUAUAGGGCAUAUAAUCAUGACAGACUGACUGUGUCCAAUUCAUGUGCACAUAGCAGUAACCCCUGAUCAGUCUUAAAAUACUGUGAUGCCAGGAUGUUAAACAAAUAAAACAUCUAUCCCUAUUAAUGCUCCGACACUGAGGUGACACCGAGGUCUGCUCCAAUUAAGGCUGAGUUUAUUAUUCUCCUUUUUUUAUUGACACAAAUGAGGAAAAGGGGGAAAGCGCAGCAGCAGCAGCAGCAGCAAAAAAAACCCCCCAAAAUGCAUUCUUUCAGUGUGAGCUCAGCUGCAGUGAGACCUCAGUGUAAAAGAUAAUAUAUUUGUGUUGAGUAACGUGUGAAAUCUGGACUGUGCGGCUGAACAGAGAAAAACAGACUCAUCGUGUGUGUGUGUGUGUGUGUGUGAGGGCCAUAUUCAGCCGCCUCGACACGAAUGACAGUCAUAAAACUAGCUAAAGGUGUAAAACAUCAUUUGAAAUGAGGCACAUUGGAAGACGUUGUUCAGAUGACAUCAUGCAGGAUAUAAAAGAAUAUAUGUCCACAGAGGGUGAUUUUGUGCAAGGACUAUCAAAGAUUAAGUCUUUGUAGCAAUUGAUGUUAAUAAAAGCCUUGACGUAACUCAAGUUGAAGUUUAGGAUUAGGGAUUCUCUCAUGUAGUGGUCUUCAUUGACCUUUAUUGACCCCGAUUAAGGGUCUUUGUUAGAAUAAAACCACAAUUAGGACUGUCUGAGGUCUUUGAGAUAUCUGAAUGAAGGAAACUCAGAGUUGUGUCAAACACUGGUACACUUUACACCCACCUGUCAUCACGCCUGUUAUGCUCCAGCGGCUAUUAGCAGCCUUCAGAUGUUUAAACACGCUAUGAUAUGACUUACACGUGGGACAGUAUGAGGAAUCUGGUUUAUUAUCCUUCUUUUCAACGUCCCACUGCUGAGAAUUAAAAAAAAAAAACCUCUAGUGUGCGCAGGCGUUCGAGUAUGAAGCGGUAAUGGCUCGUGGUUGUUAUUCUUUCCGUGCAUGGUUACCGCACGGGCGGUGUGGGACAGCGCUGGCAGGCCAGGCAGGGGAAAGACUCGGAGCGUGAACGUAAGAAAAGGACCACCUCUGACUUGCAAACAGAGGAGCUGGCCUGCUGAUGACUUCAACCGAACUAUUUAUUUCUGCGCGCCGUCUCCUGCCCUGUUCCCGGAGGCCACGCGCUGAUGUUAUCCUGAGACCUGGCCAAACGGCACGCUCGCAUGGUGCCGUCCGAUUGUUCAUGCAGCCAAAAUGGCUCAAGGCAGGCGAGAGACUAUAAAACGUGGCUUUGUUCUGUUAUAUUGCUUUCAACGGCGACGGGGAAAAUUGAGUUAGACCGAGGAUGACGUAAGAACCUGUGAGCGACUGCUUCUGACUUUCAAACUCUAGAUGAAGUGAUCGAAAUACGUCCGCGUGAACCGCAUUCUACCGAAUAGAACACGCACGGUGUUGAACAUUUGAUUUUAAAAGUCCCUAUGAAACUUUAUUAUAAAACUUGCAGUAAAUUUUAAAGGCCGUGACACAGACACGCCAUGUGCGAUAGAAAUAUCCAACAUGGUCCAAAUUUUUAUUCAACAUGAACAAAAGGAAAAAUUGUCCAAAAUGUGUGAGCAGCUUAGCCUACUCAAGAGGAAUUUUACAAAGAGAUCCUACACACACACACACACACACACACACACACACACACACACACACACACACACACACACACACACACUCAUUUAUAGUGAGAUGAAUGGGCCCAGACCAGGCCAGGUUUAUGAACCUGUCAGCAUGAUGGCUCACAUUGUCCAUACUGUUAUCUCAAUAUCUUCUUAAGGGGUUCAAGCCUCCCUCUCCAGUGAAAGCAGAUAAGGCCUGAGGUUCAAGGAGGGGCAGUCGGGGAAGUGGGAGUGCAACUCUCAUAUCUGUAGGAGUUCAAAGAGAGCUGCUUUAUCUCCACCAUGAUGAGUAUUGGCAGGGCUGGAGGUGAGAACCUUAAAGACCUGCGUCCCAUUGCGACAGAGCACUGAGCCAUCUGCGCAUAACCCCUUAUCCAAAACUUGAAAACAUUUACCACUGCUUCUCCUGUGACAGCUUUACUGGGUCCGUCUGAGCUCACUGGGCCGAAGUGGGUGUAUAGCUGCUUAGCGAUAAGCAUCAAAAGAGAUGCUGGAGCCAAAUUAAGUUCACUAUGAAGUGAACAUACUCAGCCCUAAGCACUGAGCCAGCAUGGCCAACAAAAUUUUAAAAAAAAAGAAAAACAUGAAUAUAAUUAAUAUUGAUAGACAGUGUGAUCGAUCUUUAAAUUCUAUACAUAGUUGAGAUUUGCACACCAUGUUCCCGAAAAACAAAUCAACAAGCCUCCGGUAAAAAAAAGUGUUAGCAUUGUUGUUAAGCACGCGCACACUUGCAGAAGAAGGGUUUAGGUUGCCCUUUUAAUUAUAGGUGCAGUUUGUAAAGGUGUCAAAAUUACUAGUAAUUUUCUGGUACAUAACUUUAUUAGAAUAUUGGAUUUUUGUAGGAUACAUAGUAAUCAAUGUCUAAAAAAUGCCAGGUUUGUACACUUGAACUACACUUGAAACUGCACUCCAACAAUGCAAACUUUACUAAAUAAUAAUGUACUCACAAAUACAAAUUGAUGCAUACGUCGGACCUUGAAUUUUUUAAGAUCGUAAAUAAUAUGAAGAAAUACUUCAUGUGUUACAAACUAGAAAUCAGAUUGUACGAGUUAUAACAAACCGUUGUUGAAUGCUCGAUUCUGAUUGGUCAGGUGUUGAUUAAUUUUCUAUACCAGCAGCUCCGGCAGUAGUGGCUGCUGUAAUUCAAAUCACAGGUUUAUAUGAAUGCACUCAUUCUAAUACACCAUCAUUUCUACUGUAACAUCAUACACAGGGACUUGUAUGGGGGAUGCUCUACAAACAUCUUAUUUUACAUGUGUGAUGUACUGAAGUUUUCUGUGAGGAGACACUUAUUUAGCAUUCUUGGAAGAAGCCUCCAGUGUCAGUGCUUUGAAACAGUCAGAGGUAAAGCUGUAACUUUAAAUUUUCCUAAGACAGAGGGCUUUGCAGUUUUUCAGUAACAUGACAAGCUGCAUAUAUUUCUGUCUUUUGAGGAAUAAGAGAAAUAAGAGAGGCGGGCAGGGAACUAUUUAUAGCUGAACUACUUGUUUUGUGGAUAUUCUACAACACUGAACGUAACUAUAAACUGAUCGAAUGUACAACAUGUAAUUCAUUAAAUAAUAAAAAUGUCUGAACAGAGACAAAUUGCUAUGAUAUAAGAGGAAUAAAAAAAAAACUUGUGAUGUUAUAGGAAAAUAAUCAGCGUCAUUAUGGUAACAGUAACUCUACUUUGCUUCAGGCCUCAUCACACCCCCACUCAUUAAAUAUAAGUGUUUUAUAAUAAUAAAAUUCACUUGAAGGUAAAUUGUUAUUAAUAGUAUGUCAAGCGUCAAG